AAGUGGAUUAGUGGCGCACGGGUGAGUAAUGCAUAGGUUAUGUGCCCCAUAGUCUGGGAUAGCCACUGGAAACGGUGAUUAAUACUGGAUACUCCCUACGGGGGAAAGUUUUUCGCUAUGGGAUCAGCCUAUGUCCUAUCAGCUUGUUGGUGAGGUAAUGGCUCACCAAGGCUAUGACGGGUAUCCGGCCUGAGAGGGUGAUCGGACACACUGGAACUGAGACACGGUCCAGACUCCUACGGGAGGCAGCAGUAGGGAAUAUUGCUCAAUGGGCGAAAGCCUGAAGCAGCAACGCCGCGUGGAGGAUGAAGGUUUUAGGAUUGUAAACUCCUUUUGUUAGAGAAGAUU
rnacentral:rRNA from 1 species